rnacentral:rRNA from 1 species
GUGGGGAAUAUUGCGCAAUGGGGGAAACCCUGACGCAGCAAUACCGCGUGAGUGAAGAAGGUUUUCGGAUCGUAAAACUCUUUUAUUGGGGAAGAAGAAGUGACGGUACCCAAUGAAGAAGUCCCGGCUAACUACGUGCCAGCAGCCGCGGUAAUACGUAGGGGACAAGCGUUGUCCGGAAUCACUGGGCGUAAAGGGCGCGUAGGCGGUUUUAUAAGUCAGAUGUGAAAGGUACCGGCUCAACCGGUGACGUGCAUUUGAGACUGUAAGACUUGAGUACUGGAGAGGCAAGUGGAAUUCCUAGUGUAGCGGUGAAAUGCGUAGAUAUUAGGAGGAACACCGGUGGCGAAGGCGGCUUGCUGGACAGAUACUGACGCUGAGGUGCGAAAGCGUGGGGAGCGAACAGGAUUAGAAACCCUAGUAGUCC